rnacentral:rRNA from 1 species
GACGAACGCUGGCGGCGUGCCUAAUACAUGCAAGUAGAACGCUGAAGGAGGAGGUUGCUUCUCCGGAUGAGUUGCGAACGGGUGAGUAACGCGUAGGGAACCUGCCCGGUAGCGGGGGAUAACUAUUGGAAACGAUAGCUAAUACCGCAUAACAGUAGAUAUUGCAUGAUAUCUGCUUGAAAGGUGCAAUUGCAUCACUACCAGAUGGAGCUGCGUUGUAUUAGCUAGUUGGUGAGGUAACGGCUCACCAAGGCGACGAUACAUAUCCGGCCCGAGAGGGGGGUCGGGCCAAAUGGGAACUGGAAAACGGCCAAGAUCCCACGGGAGGGAGCAGUAGGGAAUCUUCGGCCAUGGGCGGAAGUCCGGACGAGCAAAGCCGGGUGAGUGAAGAAAGUUUUCGGAUCGUUAAGGUCUGUUGUAAGGGAAGAAAGAGUGUGAGGGUGGAAAGUUCACACUGUGACGGUAUCUUACCAGAAAGGGACGGCUAACUACGUG